GAUGAACGCUGGCGGCGUGCCUAAUACAUGCGAGUAGAACGCUGAAGGAAGGAGCUUGCUCUUUCCGGAUGAGUUGCGAACGGGUGAGUAACGCGUAGGUAACCUGCCUGGUAGCGGGGGAUAACUAUUGGAAACGAUAGCUAAUACCGCAUAACAGUAGAUGUUGCAUGAUAUCUACUUAAAAGGUGCAAUUGCACCACUACCAGAUGGACCUGCGUUGUAUUAGCGAGUUGGUGAGGUAACGGCUCACCAAGGCGACGAUACAUAGCCGACCUGGGAGGGUGAACGGCCACACUGGGACUGGGACACGGCCCAGACUCCUACGGGGGGGAGCCGUAGGGAAACUUCGGCAAUGGACGGAAGUCUGACCGAGGAACGCCGCGGGAGUGAAGAAGGUUUUCGGAUCGUAAAGCUCUGUUGUAAGAGAAGAACGAGUGUGAGAGUGGAAAGUUCACACUGUGACGGUAUCUUACCAGAAAGGGACGGCUAACUACGUG
rnacentral:rRNA from 1 species